rnacentral:lncRNA from 1 species
UUUUCUCGAGGUGGAGGACGUGGAGGCCGGGGAUUUCCAAGGGGAGGCAGGGGACCUCCAAGGGGUGGCAGGGGACCUCCAAGGGGUGGCAGAGGACCUCCAAGGGGUGGGCGUGGCUUCAGGGGCAGAGGGAGAUUUUAGAAACAUUGCUGUCCCCAUUUCAUGUUGUCACUAUUCCUGGAUGCUACUAGGUUCUUACAUAGUCUCAGAAAAGUCUCAAUUCCAUGCUGGUUUUCGUGGUGACAUGUGGUUUUAUGGAUGUUCAUGAUUAUGUUUAUGUUUAUCUUGCUGAAGUUGUACUGGAUGAAGUUAAUUAUAGAUGCUUAUUUUGACUUUAUUUAACUCUCCGAAAUGAGCCUGUCUGCAUGGUUGGAGACGACUUGUUUUUACUGCAUUUGUCGUUUGAUGUCUAGCGUCAAGUAAAUAUGUUGAAUCAUUAGAUCCAGGGUGUUGAAGGAAGGAACUUACAUGUAAGUAGAUGAAUUCAAUAUAAGGAGUUGGUAUCCUAC